AGAGUAUCUCAGAAGAUGCAUGAGGAACUGAGGACAGUCGUCGGUGGACAACUGGUCUAGGAGGUGGGGUGAGAUGGAGAUUUAUUUUUUACUGUAGAUUCUUUUUGAAUUUUUUUAUGCCUGUGUAACCCUUAAAAACCCAAUUUAUUACUGUUUGUAGGCGGGCUGUUAAAUCACUCUUUCCUGCGUCUCCUUUCGCCCUGGAGAGUCUGGGCACUGCCGGUAGAGUGCUCCGGCAUAGCCCCACCCCUGGCUGGGUCCAGGAGGGCACGCCUCCUGAAGUUCAAGCGCAUCGGGGCGAGGAGCCCUGGAGGCUGCAUGACAGCCCUGUGAAUCAGCACUCUUCCCAGAUGAAAAUCCUGGCUGGAAAGCAACCUCAAGGCCUCUGGCCCUACUGCAUUGCCCUGACUUCUCUUCUCUGUUUGUUCAUCUUUCCUGGAAAAAAUAAGUAAGCUUCUCCCCUUCACCAAUUUCCCUGGCACUCUGCAGGGCAGGCCACAGAGCCCUGCCUGCCAGCUGCUUCCCGUGUGCCAAGUCUUCCUGACUCUAUUUACCUCGGUGCUCCAGUGCCCCGGGCCGCGUCUGUGCUCACAGAUCAGCUAGUGGGGCGGCUGCCAGCCCAAGUCCACACUCCCUGCUGGUGACCCCCAGCAUGUGUGCCAUGAAGACCAGCCUGGCUAUGACAGGAGUCGCUUCCACAGGAACCAUCGAGAAGACUUUAGCCAGGAGAAAAUGCUACCUCAUCCAACAAGGCAUCUGAGGGGCAUGGGGGCCCCCGUGUCUAUGUCAUGUUUUAUCCGCUCCAACUGGCUUUGUCAGAUUUCUGACUAUCUACCUUGGGCUGUGUCCCCUGGUGCUUGUCCCUGGUUCUUUUUUGUUCUCCAGGUUUAUGAACCUCUUUCUGCCUCACCUGGUCUCACCUGGACACCGGCCUCGUGGUGGAACCCUUCCCACACGUCCUGUCUGGACCGACCACUUCCGUCCAGAUGCCCAGCUCGGCUCUUAUCAGCCCCCUGCCCUGUCCUCCACCUUCUCAGUCCUGGCUCCUCUCUCUGUCCCUUGAAUCCAUAACCAGAUAUGCUCACACUCUCACCGGAGACUCCAACCUACUGACUCAGGGCCAAGGACGCACCCAAGUGUUUGUUUUCUAGGGUGGUGGUAAAGAUAAAAUGAAGUUAUGCAUGAGAACCAUUAACACGGUGCUUCUGGCACAUGGUUUCGUGGUCACAAAUUUGGGAGCAGCUUCGUCGGGUGGUUGUGGAUCCAGAUCUCUCAUGAGGUUGCCGCCAAGACUUCAGCCCGGGCCACAGUCAUCUGAAGGCCUCACUGGGGCUGGGGAUACAUUUCCAAGAUGGCACACUCACGUGGCUGUUGGCAAGAGGCAUCAGGUCCUUGCCACGUGAGCUACUUGAGUGUCAUGACACCUGGCUUCCCCCCAGAGCAAGUGAUCCAGGCAAGGGCAUGAAGGAAGCCACACUGCCUUUCAUGACCUAGUACCAAAAGUCACACACUAUUACUUAUGCUUUUCUAUUCAUUAGAAGUGAGCCACUGAGUUCAGCCCACAUUCAAGGGGAGGGGAAUUAAGCUCCAUCUUUUAAAGGAGUGUCAGAAUGUAAGAAUUUGUUAUGUGUAUAUCUGUGUCUGUGUCUGUGGUCCUAAACUAUUCUUUUUUUUUUAAUCUUUACCUAAAUGGAAUCACACUGUUAGUGUUCUGUGACUUGCAAUUUCAUCCAACCUUAUAUUUUUGACAUCCAUUAAUACUGACACAUUGUAUUAGUCUGCUAGGGCUGCCAUAAGAAAGUACUGUAGACAGGGCAGCUUAAAAAAAACUGAAUUUGUUUUCUCAGACCUGGAGGCUGGACGUCCAAGAUCAAGGUGUUGGCAGGGGUAGUUUCUUCUGAGGUCUCUCUCCUUGGCUUGUAGAUGGUUUUCUUCUCCCUGUGUCUUCGCAUGGUCUUCCUUCUUUAUGGAUUUGUGUCCUAAUUUCCUCUUCUUAUAAGGACAUGGGUCAUAUUGGAUUAAGGCCUACCCUAAUGAUCUCAUUUUAUUCAUUUCCCUCUUUAAAGACUUUAUACCCAAAUACAGUCACAUCCUGAGAUAGUGGGGGGUUAGGACUUCAACAUAUGAAUUUUAUGGGGGCACAAUUCAACCCAUAACAUACACAGACCUGCCGUUUAUUCACUUUCACUGCUCUACAGUAUUCUAUUGUGUGAGUAGACAAAAAUUUUUUUCUAUUCUACUAUCGAUAGAUAUUUUCAGUUUUUGUUAUUAAAAAACAUACUGUCACAUGCCUCCUGGCACCCUUGAAUAUGUAACAUACACACAUCUUCAUAUUUACUAGGUUAAUGCCAAUUUUUUUCCCCAAAGGUUGCACUAAUGUACGUUCCCAUCACCAGGAUAUCAGAGUUCUCAUUGCUCCACAUUCUUGCCAGUGUUUGGUAUUGUCAGACUCUCUAACUUUUCUAAUCUCAUGGGUGAGAAAUGAUAUCUUUUGUGGCUCUAUUUAGCAUUUCCCAGAUGACCAACAAGGUUGAGGAUCCUUUCAUUUGUUUGUGAAAUGCUUUUUCCUUUCUUUUGUCCAUUUAUCCAUUGGGUUGUUAAUUUUUUCCGUAUUGAUUUGUCAAAGUUCUUCACAUAUUGGUACUGCACGUAUUUUCUACCAGCUUAUCUUUUUACUUUCUCUGGCCAAACUUCAUAAGUCUCGGCUCUUCUUCUUCUGCCCAUCUAUUGUUUGUGUUUCUCUCAGGUCCUGUCCUCUCCCUGCUCUACAUACUGUCCUUAGUUAAUCCGUCCAAUGAAUGAACUUCUCACCUACAAAUGUUACUGAAUCCUAAACUACAUCUUCAAAAUAGCUCUGCUGAGCAUCUUAAAGUUCACUGAACACUCCAUGCUUUUUCCAACUUGUGAGCUUUGGCACAUGCUUGCCACUCUUAGUGGAAUAACAUCUCCCACCCCAUCCUCCUCCACUCUCCCAUACACUUUUUUUUUCUUUUCUUUUUUUUUUUUUAAAUGUCGGUUCAUUGGGGUUUUUUAAAUUUAGUUUUGGCUG